CAACGAUAAGAAGUGUGAGAGACACUUCCGCCGUAAGUCCAAGGGUUCCUGCGCAAUGCUAAUCAGCGCAGGGUUAGCCGGCUCCUAAGGCGAGGGCGAAAGCCGUAGUCGAUGGGAAUGAGGUCAAUAUUCCUCAGCCAGUGGGUGGUGACGAAUCCUAAAAGUUGUCAGGUCUUAACGGAUUGACCUGGCAGCGAAGGGGUUCCAGGAAAUAGCCCCCACAUCAGACCGUACCCUAAACCGACACAGGUGGACUGGUAGAGAAUACCAAGGCGCUUGAGAGAACUGCGUUGAAGGAACUCGGCAAAUUACCCCCGUAACUUCGGGAGAAGGGGGCCCCAUAUCUGGGCAACCAGGUGUGGGGGGCACAGACCAGGGGGUGGCGACUGUUUACUAAAAACACAGGGCUCUGCGAAGCCGCAAGGCGACGUAUAGGGUCUGACGCCUGCCCGGUGCCGGAAGGUUAAGAGGAGGGGUGCAAGCUCUGAAUCGAAGCCCCGGUAAACGGCGGCCGUAACGAUAACGGUCCUAAGGUAGCGAAAUUCCUUGUCGGGUAAGUUCCGACCUGCACGAAUGGCGUAACGACUUCCCCACUGUCUCCAACGCAGACUCAGUGAAAUUGAAUUCCCCGUGAAGAUGCGGGGUUCCUGCGGUUAGACGGAAAGACCCCGUGAACCUUUACUAUAGCUUUGCACUGGUAUUCGUGGUGGCAUGUGUAGCAUAGGUGGGAGGCUUUGAGCCGGGGGCGCUAGUUCCCGGGGAGCCAACGUUGAAAUACCACCCUUGUGAUUAUGGAUAUCUAACCGCGGCCCGUCAUCCGGGUCCGAGACAGUGCAUGGUGGGUAGUUUGACUGGGGCGGUCGCCUCCCAAAAAGUAACGGAGGCGCGCGAAGGUGGGCUCAAGCUGGUCGGAAAUCAGCUGACGAGUGCAAAGGCAUAAGCCUGCCUGACUGCGAGACCGACGGGUCGAGCAGAGACGAAAGUCGGCCUUAGUGAUCCGGUGGUCCCGCGUGGAAGGGCCAUCGGUCAACGGAUAAAAGGUACUCCGGGGAUAACAGGCUGAUGAUGCCCAAGAGUCCAUAUCGACGGCAUCGUUUGGCACCUCGAUGUCGGCUCAUCACAUCCUGGGGCUGGAGCAGGUCCCAAGGGUUCGGCUGUUCGCCGAUUAAAGUGGUACGUGAGCUGGGUUUAGAACGUCGUGAGACAGUUCGGUCCCUAUCUGCCGUAGGUGUAGGAGAAUUGAGAGGAUCUGUCCCUAGUACGAGAGGACCGGGAUGGACGUACCUCUAGUGGACCUGUUGUCGCGCCAGCGGCAUAGCAGGGUAGCCAAGUACGGAAGGGAUAACCGCUGAAAGCAUCUAAGCGGGAAACCCACCUCGAAACUAGUUCUCCCUUGAGAGCCGUGGAAGACCACCACGUUGAUAGGCUGGGUGUGGAAGUGCAGCAAUGCACGAAGCUAACCAGUACUAAUCGCUCGAUCGGCUUGAUUGC
rnacentral:rRNA from 1 species